rnacentral:rRNA from 1 species
UACAGAGGUCUCAAGCGUUGUUCGGAUUCAUUGGGCGUAAAGGGUGCGUAGGUGGCGCCGUAAGUCAGGUGUGAAAUUUCGGAGCUUAACUCCGAAACUGCAUUUGAUACUGCGGUGCUUGAGGACUGGAGAGGAGACUGGAAUUUACGGUGUAGCAGUGAAAUGCGUAGAGAUCGUAAGGAAGACCAGUGGCGAAGGCGGGUCUCUGGACAGUUCCUGACAGCUGAGGCACGAAGGCCAGGGGAGCAAACGGG